GAUGAACGCUAGCUACAGGCUUAACACAUGCAAGUCGAGGGGUAACGAGAGGAAAGCUUGCUUUCCUUGUCGACGACCGGCGCACGGGUGAGUAACGCGUAUCCAACCUGCCCCCAACUAGGGAAUAACCUUGCGAAAGUAAGACUAAUACCCUAUAAUUUCUUCAGAUGUCAUCUGACGAGGAAUAAAGAUUCAUCGGUUGUGGAUGGGGAUGCUUCUGAUUAGCUUGGUGGCGGGGUAACGGCCUACCAAGGCAACGAUCAGUCGGGGUUCUGAGAGGAAGGUCCCCCACAUUGGAACUGAGACACGGUCCAAACUCCUACGGGAGGCAGCAGUGAGGAAUAUUGGUCAAUGGGCGGAAGCCUGAACCAGCCAAGUAGCGUGCAGGAUGACGGCCCUAUGGGUUGUAAACUGCUUUUAUACAGGAAUAAAGUUAGCCACGUGUGGUUAUUUGUAGGUACUGUAUGAAUAAGGACCGGCUAAUUCCGUGCCAGCCGCCGCCGUAA
rnacentral:rRNA from 1 species